UGACAUCCGGCGAAAGCCGGCUCCCCGCAAGGGCAGUUGCCGAGGUGCUGCAUGGCUGUCGUCAGCUCGUGUCGUGAGAUGUUGGGUUAGUCCCGCAACGAGCGCAACCCUUGUCCGCUGUUGCCAUCAGGUUAAGCUGGGCACUCUGCGGAGACUGCCGGUGAUAAACCGGAGGAAGGUGGGGAUGACGUCAAGUCAGCAUGGCCUUUAUGUCUGGGGCUACACACGUGCUACAAUGGCAGAUACAAACCGUCGCGAGACCGCAAGGUGGAGCUAAUCGGAGAAAGUCUGUCUCAGUUCGGAUUGCAGGCUGCAACUCGCCUGCAUGAAGUUGGAAUCGCUAGUAAUCGCGGAUCAGCACGCCGCGGUGAAUACGUUCCCGGGCCUUGUACACACCGCCCGUCACAUCACGAAAGCUGGCUGUACUAGAAGUCGCCGCGCUAACCCGCAAGGGAGGCAAGCGCCUAAGGUAUGGUUAGUGAUUGGGGUG
rnacentral:rRNA from 1 species